GUGCUCUCUUCGGGAGCACAUACACUAAAAUUGGAAUGAUACAGAGAAGAUUAGCAUGGCCCGUGCGCAAGGAUGACACGCAAAUUCGUGAAGCAUUCCAUAUUUUU
ensembl:snRNA U6 U6 spliceosomal RNA